AACGGAAGAACCGUUUCCAUUUCUUAUUAUCGGGUUCUGCUUUCACUUCUUUCUUCCCUCUCUUGUUUGGAAACCUUCAUUGUGUAUUUUACAUUCGUGCAUCAUGAGAUUUUUUUUUGACAACAUUGCGCCAAAAUCUCGACAGUUGUGCUGAGGGAGAGGGUUUGUGAGGCCUGGAGCUGGUGAUAAAUGUGUCUUGGACUGAAAAAUCAUCCUUGUACGGCUGCAACUAGAAACAAAGCAGUAAUGGAGGAUUUGUGAUGGUGUCAUAAAUUGAUGAAAGUUAAUACUGCAUCUACUGGGGUCACCUUUGCAGACAAUGCAUUCCAUAUUACAACAACUUGCAAAAAGGAUUCCCACGUGAGGACUGGCUAAUAGCGCAUUUUGCACUUUUGCUCAAAAAAGGAGUUGGACCUGGUAAUUACAGACCAGUCGAUGUCAUGUUGGCAACAACGAAGCUUUUAGAGACAAUAAUUGGGACAAAAUUGUGUGAUAUAUUGCAAUCUUCCAAAGUUCUAUUUACCUCAUCUUUAUUUUUACCCUAUCCAAUGCUGUUGAUAUCUUCUUUACUGCCACAAUUACAGUCUGCUUUGUUGAAGACAGAUGUAAAGUAGUAAUUUCAUACUUCAGUCCUGCCCUCUGUCUCUGUAAAAAGCUCUUUUUGGUCUUUAAUCAGCCCACCUUCAUACAAAUAGAGAAAAGGUGAACUUUACAUUGGGGAAAAGAAGGGAAAAGAAACUGUGCACAAAUUAAGGCUAUUUGAUUAAUACAUUUGUAGAAAGUUUCCACUAGAUAUUUUUUAAUCAACCUCAGAUGUAAUUUGAUACGUCUGUGGUAGGUGGGACUUGAACCCAGAUUUUCUGGUUCAGAGACAAAAGAAACUGCAGAUGCUAGAAUCCAAAGUAGACAAGCACGAGGCUGGAAGAACAUAGCAAGACAAGUUCUCCAUCUCCAGGUGCUGCCUGGCUUGCUGUGUUCUUUCAGCGUCCUGCCUGUCUACUUCUGGUUCAGAGAUAGGGAAACUGUCACUGUGCCAUGAACCUGAAAUUUUCCACUAUAACUUGCAACACUAUUAUUAACAGAUUCAUGCAUUACCAAUUUCACUAGAUAAUGCAAACAUAAGCAACCUUUCCAAACUAAAGACUCAUCCUUCUUAAUCAAACCCCUUAAUUAUUAUAUCUGACAUCUAAUCACAAUCAAAUGAUCAUUCAAUAAAAUUAUUUAAUAAGACUUUAUCUUCAACUUAGUAUGUCUUUUACAUUUUGGAAACAAUAUUUUUCAAACAAAUAAAAAAUGCGAUUAUGGAAUUUUCAAAUCAGGAUGUCAGUCAUGAUAUCCGUUCAUGUCCAGUGCUUUAUGUGAUAAUUAAAUUGAGUUACCUUUCUGUCAAUUAAUGGAAUUAUCGACAAUAAUGACUUGUUCUGCUCUGAUUCUGAAAUGAAUUAAAACCAAGCCAUGUUGCAUUAUUUGAUUGUCACAAAGGUAUAUCAAAAUGACAGUGUGAUGACGGGUGUAAAAAGAGUUAAGUCAGUGUGCUGAAUCGCUUGAUUAUCACUUCAUAAACCUUUGCAAAAUUAUUUGGUUAAAGUUCUGAGAAAUUAAGUGUUCCCUUUUAUUCUGUCCUAAUAUUAAAGUUGCAGGUGUGGUGAAGUUCUGAAAUACAUACAUUCAGGCUUCCUCUUGGUGAGCAGCAUGUAAUUUACAAUCCAUAAUAUAAUCCUUGUUUCCUAAGUGUGUCUAGCGCAACAUUCUCAAACUGUUAGUACAGUAUAACUGCAGCCCAAAUAGUUCUUGGUUAAUGUAUUAGUGCUGUGUUCAUACUGGUAUUACUUUAUGUAUGGCUUAAGAUCUCAAAACAGAGAAGAUUCUUCAUGAUAUUUCUACGGUAAAAAGAAUGAUGUAUGUUAUUCUUUUGGCUUUCAGCUGUUUUCAUUAAUUCCAGUUAUAUAAAAGUUAUGUACAACUUUUUCUGAUUUCAGUCAGGUAGUAUGAUGUUUACAUAUCUUGGCUGCUGUUCAGCUGGGACUCUAAUCAUCCUUAGUUUGUCAUAGAAUAUAAAAACAUCUUGGUGUUAGGUUACUUUGUUAAUCUCAGACAAUAAAAUCUGUGACAAAUUGA